CCAACUGGGAUCUCUUCAGUAAUUGCGCAUGAACCAGGAUAUGCUUAGCUUGACAAAUGGAGCUGCUGGCUCUGAAUUGUAUUGUGGGAAUGUAUUACCAACAGAGGUGCAGGUGUCAGCCAUUUGAAAGAAAGCAUCAAUGAGGGUGAGAGUCCUGUUUGUCAUGUGCAGCCUUCUGUGCACGGUGUAUAUUUGCUGAGUCACACUCCUUGGCAUUGGAAUGCAAAGUGGGUGGUAAGUUUCAUGCAAAGGUAAAUAUGCAAUUGAGACUGAUAGCGCACAAGUACCAUGAGGGACAUAUGAAAAGGACUUUGAAAAGAGAAUUAAAUGAGUUUGUAUUUGCUAAACACAAAGUAAACAGACUUGAUUUCCUCAGUGAGAUUGUAGUGCUUGCUUAACAAUGGGUUUUGGCUGCAAGUGCAAUAAUUCUUGCUUUGUGUGCCAGUUUUUAUGUGGACAUUUGAUUACCUUUGCACAUGAAUGGUAAUUUUCCUGCGGGGUGUGGAUUGCAUAUGCAUGUAAUGAUUUGCAUGUUUGUUAAAUGUGUCUGGUGUAUUUGUUUGUGUCCUUGUCCUUGAGGUUGCUUUCUCCCUUGGGCUUACAUGCCCUGGCACACACAUUCUGGCAAAAUGCUUCUGCUUGACCCGUCUUGAAACACGGACCAAGGAGUCUAACAGAUGUGCAAGUUUGAAGGUGGUAUACCUGUGUGUGUAAUGAAAGUAUUGGCUGGGAUAUUUGCACCAGCAGCCGACUAAUUAGCAGACAGAGGUUUGAGUUGGAGCAUAUCUAUUAGGACCCGAAAGAUGGUGAACUAUGCUUGAACAGAAAGAAUUCAGAGGAAACUCUGAUGGAGGUUCGUAUCGAUACUGACGUGCAAAUCGUUCGUCAUAUUUGGGUAUAGGGGCGAA
rnacentral:rRNA from 1 species